rnacentral:rRNA from 1 species
CAGCAGCCGCGGUAAUACGUAGGGUGCAAGCGUUAAUCGGAAUUACUGGGCGUAAAGCGUGCGCAGGCGGUUUGUUAAGACAGAUGUGAAAUCCCCGGGCUCAACCUGGGAACUGCAUUUGUGACUGGCAAGCUAGAGUAUGGCAGAGGGGGGUAGAAUUCCACGUGUAGCAGUGAAAUGCGUAGAGAUGUGGAGGAAUACCGAUGGCGAAGGCAGCCCCCUGGGCCAAUACUGACGCUCAUGCACGAAAGCGUGGGGAGCAAACAGGAUUAGAUACCCGUGUAGUCCCUGUCUCUUAUAC